GGGGAAUAUUGCGCAAUGGGGGAAACCCUGACGCAGCAACGCCGCGUGAGUGAAGAAGGUUUUCGGAUCGUAAAACUCUGUCUUAAGGGAUGAACAAAUGACAGUACCUUAAGAGGAAGCCCCGGCUAACUACGUGCCAGCAGCCGCGGUAAUACGUAGGGGGCAAGCGUUGUCCGGAAUUACUGGGCGUAAAGGGCGUGUAGGCGGCACUUUAAGUCAGAUGUGAAAGUCCACGGCUCAACCGUGGAAUUGCAUUUGAAACUGGAGAGCUUGAGUGCAGGAGAGGAGAGCGGAAUUCCUAGUGUAGCGGUGAAAUGCGUAGAUAUUAGGAAGAACACCAGUGGCGAAGGCGGCUCUCUGGACUGUAACUGACGCUGAGGCGCGAAAGCGUGGGUAGCGAAC
rnacentral:rRNA from 1 species